GGACGAACGCUGGCGGCGUGCUUAACACAUGCAAGUCGAGCGGUAAGGCCCUUUCGGGGGUACGACGAGCGGCGAACGGGUGAGUAACACGUGGGUGACCUGCCCUCAGCUCUGGGAUAAGCCUGGGAAACCGGGUCUAAUACUGGAUAUGACUCCAUGACGCAUGUUGGUGGGGUGGAAAGCCUUGUGCGGCUGAGGAU
rnacentral:rRNA from 1 species